UACGAAGGGGGCUAGCGUUGCUCGGAAUCACUGGGCGUAAAGCGCACGUAGGCGGCUUUGUAAGUUAGAGGUGAAAGCCUGGAGCUCAACUCCAGAACUGCCUUUAAGACUGCAUCGCUUGAAUCCAGGAGAGGUGAGUGGAAUUCCGAGUGUAGAGGUGAAAUUCGUAGAUAUUCGGAAGAACACCAGUGGCGAAGGCGGCUCACUGGACUGGUAUUGACGCUGAGGUGCGAAAGCGUGGGGAGCAAACAGG
rnacentral:rRNA from 1 species